GAUGAAGAACGUAGCGAAAUGCGAUAAUUAAUGUGAAUUGCAGAAUUCCGUGAAUCAUCGAGUCUUUGAACGCACAUUGCGCCUCAUGGCAUUCCGUGAGGCAUGCCCAUCUCAGCGUUAGAAAAUAUUCUCAAAUUUUAGUUUUGUGCUAAAAUUUGGAUCAUGUCAAGGAAGCUAUUACUAUUAUUGUGAUCGCUCUUUGGAAAUUGAUAGGUCUUUGAGUUGCUACUCAUAGAACGUGAUGAAUCUUUCUCCGUUCUAUUGUAAUUCACUCUGGUAGUCCUAAAACUUGUAUGCCUGUGGCAUAUCUUGUAAUUUGACCUGAGAUUGGGUAGGGAUACCCGCUGAACUUAAGCAUAUCAAUAAGCGGAGGA
rnacentral:misc_RNA from 1 species